rfam:Schistosoma mansoni, Puerto Rico, WGS project CABG01000000 data, contig: 0208
AUCCAGCCGAUGAGUUCCAAAUAGGAUGAAACGCACAUUCUGGAU